GACUCUCGGCAACAGAUAUCUCGGCUCUCGCAUCGAUCAAGAACGUAGCAAAAUGCGAUACCUGGUGUGAAUUGCAGAAUCCCGCGAACCAUCGAGUCUUGGAACGCAAGUUGCGCCCGAGGCCACUCGGCCGAGGGCACGCCUGCCUGGGCAUCA
rnacentral:rRNA from 1 species